rnacentral:rRNA from 1 species
GACGAACGCUGGCGGCGCGCCUCAUACAUGCAAGUCGAACGAGAAGCCCGGGCUUGCCCGGGUGGAGAGUGGCGAACGGGUGAGGAACACGUGAGGAACCUGCCCCGAAGACUGGGAUAACACCGGGAAACCGGUGCUAAUACCGGAUGCCCUCAUCGGAUCUCAUGUUCCGAUGAGGAAAUGGAUUCCGCUUCGGGAUGGCCUCGCGGCCUAUCAGCUUGUUGGUGGGGUAACGGCCCACCAAGGCUUCGACGGGUAGCUGGUCUGAGAGGAUGUCCAGCCACACUGGGACUGAGACACGGCCCAGACUCCUACGGGAGGCAGCAGUAGGGAAUCUUGCGCAAUGGGCGAAAGCCUGACGCAGCGACGCCGCGUGGGGGACGAAGGCCUUUCAGGUCGUAAACCCCUUUCGGCAGGGACGAAGCGAUCUCGUGACGGUACCUGCAGAAGAAGCCUCGGCUAACUACGUGCCAGCCGCCGCAGUAAGAC